rfam:Felis catus isolate Cinnamon breed Abyssinian chromosome F2, whole genome shotgun sequence.
GCCUGGGUGGCUCAGUCGGUUGAGCGUCCGACUUCGGCUCCGUUCAUGAUCUCGCGGCCUGUGAGUUCAAGCCCCACAUCGGGCU